rnacentral:lncRNA from 1 species
AAGUGACAUAAACUGGCAUGUUCUGAAAGAAUCACUCUGGAUGCUGUGUGGAGAAAACACUGAAAAGAAUUCUAGAGUGAAAGUUUCAUGAAUAUAAGAAGCAAGACAAGGAAGUGGCUUAUGCUUAAGGCCUUAAAGGCAACCACUGUGACAAUCCAGCCAUUCUCUGGAGAAUUCAGCAGAAAGCCAGUUGGAAGGUUUGAAAUGGAAAUUACAAGCGCAAUAUUACAGAAGUGUGGAUUUUAGUUACAAUGUCUCUAUGAGAAAGUCUAAAAGUUAAACAUAAGCAAAACAACAAAAACAUCUAAAUACCAGACACUAUCCUCAGAAAUUAGAUUUGAAAAAUGAGCUUCAUUUUCGAAGAACAUAUUGAAUUUGUUAUCUCGAUUAUGGAGGGCGACAAGUCCCACAGUCUGCCAUCUGCAGGAUGGAGAACCAGGGGGAGAAUAAUUGACUCCAUUCAAGUGUUCGCUCCUGUUUCAAUCAACUAUGGCUGAAGAGUGAGGAGACAUUUGGAAUAAAUAUGGCUUCUGGGGGCCCAUUCCUAUGGAUCAGCAGCUGGCUUCUGGAGGCCCAUUCCUGUGAAUCGUCGAUCUCAUAGAAGAUAAUAUUGUUAGAAGGCUUACCUCAUUGAUGCUGAACAUCCUAAAAAGCUUCUGCUGCUUUGAGUCACUGAAAAAGACCAAGAAACAUGAAUUUAAAAAAAAAUUUCAAAUGUUAUAAAAUAAAUAAUAUGAACUCAU